UACGGAGGGUGCAAGCAUUAAUCGGAUUUAUUGGGCGUAAAGGGCGCGUAGGCGGGGAUGUAAGUCAGAUGUGAAAUCCCGAAGCUCAACUUCGGAACAGCAUUUGAAACUACAUUUCUAGAGGAUAGGCGGAGAAAACGGAAUUCCACAAGUAGCGGUGAAAUGCGUAGAGAUGUGGAAGAACACCAGUGGCGAAGGCGGUUUUCUAGCUUAUACCUGACGCUAAAGCGCGAAAGCAAGGGGAGCAAACAGG
rnacentral:rRNA from 1 species